AUGGCUUCGACACCCUCCGCUUCAGCGCUGUCAGCUGUCCUCCGGUGUCAGGGGAAUAUCCUCGCCCGAAAACAGGCGAACAAGAAGCGGCCUCCAGCCUCAGUGUGCGGGCUCGGGAUGACAUGUGGAGACUCGGUCAAGUCUUGUUUUCGCUCUCUAUGGGGAUUCAUAUUUCACAGGGAGCGGGUGGAUGUUCUCGGAGUUUUGUCCGUUUCAGCGCGAUUUGAAACGGGCUGUUCGGGUAAAUCUUCGAGAAGAAAUCAAUCCAAAGAUCUUCUGGUCAAAAUAAGCUCCCUAAAGACUGACAACAAAAUGUUAACUGUGAAAGUAUCAAGUGAACCAAAUCAGUGGCCAAAGAAGAAACUGACGUCGGACAAUACUUUUGCUUUUAAAUCCCAACCUUGUAGUGUUUUAUUCAAAAACACACUGGUUCUUCGACUGGAUGGCUCUUAUUUACGAAAACUAAACUCAGAUUAUCCAUGCACUUGCUGCAUUUGUGUAGUUUGCGCUCGGAGUAAGAGCACGCGAAAGUACAGUGAUAUGAAUCCAUUGUUUUCUCUUGGCUUAUUGUGGAUUUUAAAGAAUAAACUCAUAUAUUUAUCCACCGCAGUGUCAGACAGUGUGCGGAAACUUGGAAUUGGCUGGAACCAGCUUCAUCCGGAUUGUGAUAAGUUUAGUGGAUGUGUCAGAUGUGCAUCUGAACAUCACGAGGAUCGACCUAAGACACUGGAAGGAGCUGAACCUGGGGAAUGAGUCGUCUUCUAAAGACUAUGGAGCGUGGAAUGCGCCUCACACAAAUGCACUUUGAAUGAUUGACAGAUAUAACUAGAUAUAUGUGAAUGUAUGAAUGUCAGUAAUUGUACUCUCAUGUUCUUUCAUGUACUGUCUUGUUCACUUCAGCUUUAUGGAAUGUAUUGUAUUGUUUUAUACACUUUCUACUUGAUUUUGCACUGUUAUUGCCAGCCAAAUGUUCCCUUUGGAGUAAGAAACUAUUAUUACUAUUAUACUAUUAUUACUAUUAUACUAUGUUGUCAAGUGAACAGGAAAUUGAUGCUGCAAUGCUUGUUUGAUUUUGUGUAUUAAUAAAUAGGCCACAUAAUAAUGCUUAAUUAAAAAACAUCAAGAAUGUGUUUUUUUUUAAUUAAUUUUACAAUCUUAUAAAAAAAUCUUGAAUCUUGAGAUAAAAAAAAAUAGAAGCAGAGCCCAAUCUGGCUCUAUUCUCAAGACUUUUUGAUUACCUCUAUCUAUCUAUCUAUCCUGGAAUCUAUCUAUCUAUCCUUCCGUCUGUCCGUCCGUCCAUCCAUCCAUCCAUCCAUCCAUCCAUCUAUAUAUCUAUCUAUCUAUCUAUCUAUCUGUCUGUCUGUCUGUCUGUACUGGAUUUCUAUCUGCAUGUCAGGGAUCAAUCCUUAUAAUCCUGCAAAAAUCUUGAAUCCUAUUUUAAUGCAUCUUAACAGGACUGGUUUCAUUCAUUAAAAUGCAUGAAUUUUCCAGGCUUAGAAAACUCUAAAUUACAGGUGAUAACAAUGAAUGUGGGAUCAUUUCAUGAUUUCAUGAAAUUCAUAAGUUCCCAUUUGUGUCUGGCACAAGGCUUUUCUAAUUGAGGAGGACACCUGUUUUCCACCUCUGUAACAGGACCCUCACCAGAGACCCUACUAAUAAAUUUCGCGGGAUCAGCGUAAACCACGAGGCCUUAUAGUCCCGUAUAUCCAGAGGUCGACGGGAGGGGGCGGGACUUCCUAAAAAUGACGCCACCCGGAAGUCAAGUACUCUUGCAUUCUUGAGCGAAGCUUGAAGGGUUUAUGCGAAGGCAGGAAGUUAACUGUGCUUGAAAUUAACGACCGUUUAGCGCCUGUUCCACAUUAGAUUCAUAUAAAUUACUUGGAUUAGUUGAAAUUGGAUAUAAUCUUUAAUGCGACGGAAGUAUGAAUAUAUUGGCUGACUAAAGAAGACGGGAAACAUGCCAGAGUAUGAGAGCGCGUUGACUCAUGUAAGUCAGAUAUGUUGGCAUUUUUUACGCAUCCUAGUGGUGUUUAAACUCAGCUCUCAUAUGUGAUGAACCGAACGGUGUAGUCUCUUACUGUUUAACAGUUGUGGCUGAGACAGGGCUGGAAGAGCUACAGGUGAGAUUGUUGAUCGAACGAAGAAUCUGCUUCAUAACGCGUCCAUAUUUGCUCGUAUUUUACACAAUGAUUUCAAAAUUUGUUUCAUUUUUUUAUACACGUUUUUAUUUAAUAAAAACCGAGCCUUAUUAAAUAAAAUAUGAUUUAAAAUCUGUUUUUCUUCUGGGGCCUGAAAUAUGGGUUUUUUUGUCAAUAAUGAUAAAUUAUACAGUAUAUUGCUGAAUGUGUUUUUGUGCUGGUUUAGGUCUGUCAUAGAUAAAUAAAUUAGUGUCAAACGAUUAUUCGCAUCCAAAAUAAAAGUUUGUGUUUACAUAAUACAUGUGUGUGUACUGUGUAU
rnacentral:lncRNA from 12 species